AUGAGGCAUCACGUGGCAGAGGAGACGGCGGCUGUCGGGCGGGGGCAUCGCGUGGCAGAGGAGGCGGCGGCUGUCGGGCGGGGGCAUCACGUGGCAGAGGAGACGGCAGCGGCGGCGAGACGAGGGACGCCCGAGCUCCUCGGCCCAGCUCAACAGAAGGUUUUACAGCUCGAGUCAUACUCAGAUAUGCCCAUCAGUUCAGCAACAUCACAGAUAGAAAAGCAUAUCUGGUCUGAUGGAAUAGAAGAAAGCACAUGUGAACUCAAGAACAAUACAGCACAUUAUAUAGUGGGGGAGAACAGCCAGUUUGGGGGAAAUAUACUUUCAGUGUGCCACGCGCCGAACAAGGAGGUCAAGAGAAGGGUCCACUUCAAGGACCUAGAAGCACUUUUUCUCAUACAUUGGCAUAUCGUAUCAAUGGAGAAUGGGCGACCCAUGGUGCACAUACAGCUUGCUACCGAUGUACCCAUCAGUGGCACAUAUCAGUGCUUUGUUCUUUGGAUGCAUGUACCUGAGGAUCAGUCUAAGUCAAAAGAGAUGAUACACACGUGCAUAUAUAUGCUUAAUUACCUCUGGCUGCGUACACAUGGAUAA
rnacentral:rRNA from 1 species